AUUGAACGCUGGCGGCAGGCCUAACACAUGCAAGUCGAACGAGUGGCGGACGGGUGAGUAAUGUCUGGGAAACUGCCUGAUGGAGGGGGAUAACUACUGGAAACGGUAGCUAAUACCGCAUACCAUCAGAUGUGCCCCGAUGGGAUUAGCUAGGUGGUGGGGUAACGGCUCACCAAGGCGACGAUCCCUAGCUGGUCUGAGAGGAUGACCAGCCACACUGGAACUGAGACACGGGCCAGACUCCUACGGGAGGCAGCAGUGGGGAAUAUUGUACAAUGGGCGAAAGCCUGAUGCAGCAAUGCCGCGGGUAUGAAGAAGGCCUUCGGGUUGUAAAGCACUGUCAGCGGGGAGGCGUUACCCGAAGAGGAAGCACCGGCUAACUCCGUGCCAGCAGCCGCGGUAAUUC
rnacentral:rRNA from 1 species